UCUUAAUGGGGGACACAGACUGGUACAG
rnacentral:piRNA from 1 species